CCUACGGGCGGCAGCAGUGAGGAAUAUUGGUCAAUGGGCGCGAGCCUGAACCAGCCAAGUCGCGUGAGGGAGGACGGCCCUACGGGUUGUAAACCUCUUUUGCCGGGGAGCAACGGGCGUCACGUGUGGCGCCACUGAGAGUACCCGGAGAAAAAGCAUCGGCAAACUCCGUGCCAGCAGCCGCGGUAAUACGGAGGAUGCGAGGGUUAUCCGGAUUUAUUGGGUUUAAGGGGUGCGUGGGCGGAUCGUUAAGUCAGGGGUCAAAUUGAGGGGCUCAACCCCUUCCCGCCAUUGAAACUGGCGAUCUUGAGUGGAAAAGAAGUAUGCGGAAUGCGUGGUGUAGCGGUGAAAUGCAUAGAUAUCACGCGGAACCCCGAUUGCGAAGGCAGCAUGCCGGCUUCCGACUGACGCUGAAGCACGAAAGCGUGGGGAUCGAACAGGAUUAGAUACCCGAGUAGUC
rnacentral:rRNA from 1 species